UAGGGAAUAUUGGUCAAUGGACGCAAGUCUGAACCAGCCACGCCGCGUGCAGGAUGAAGGCGCUCUGCGUUGUAAACUGCUUUUGUACGGGAAGAAUAUAUCGUUUGCGAACGAUUUUGACGGUACCGUAAGAAUAAGGAUCGGCUAACUACGUG
rnacentral:rRNA from 1 species